rnacentral:rRNA from 1 species
UACAGAGGUCUCAAGCGUUGUUCGGAUUCAUUGGGCGUAAAGGGUGCGUAGGUGGCGAGGUAAGUCGGAUGUGAAAUCCCGGGGCUCAACCCCGGAACUGCACUCGAUACUGCCUGGCUAGAGUACUGGAGAGGAGAUUGGAAUUUACGGUGUAGCAGUGAAAUGCGUAGAUAUCGUAAGGAAGACCAGUGGCGAAGGCGGAUCUCUGGACAGUUACUGACACUGAGGCACGAAGGCCAGGGGAGCAAACGGG